UUUUCUGUUGUUUAAUGGUGGCUAAACCAAACCCUGGUUAUGCUAUCUAUCAAAGCUAGAAUAAUUAAUUCACAGUUUGAUGUUGGGACAACCUAACACUGUUUUUUAAUUUUAUUUUUAAUCUUUAUUGCAGGUAUAUAUCAUAGACUAUGGUCUUGCAAAAAAGUAUAGCGAUCUUCAGACGCACAAGCACAUUCCAUACAGGGAAAACAAGAAUCUCACAGGAACAACUUGUUAUGCAAGUGUUAACACUCACCUUGGAGUUGAGCAAAGCAGAAGAGAUGAUUUGGAGUCUCUUGGUUAUGUGCUUAUGUAUUUUUUGAGGGGAAGGUUGGAUACUUAUGUGAUAUGCUGAAAUCCAUUUUCCUUUGUUUCAUUGCUCUGUUUCACCAUAUUAUUUACUUAUUUUCUUUACUAGUCUUCCUUGGCAGGGAUUAAAAGCAGGUACGAAAAAACAGAAAUACGACAAGAACAGUGAAAAGAAGAUGCUUACUCCCAUAGAGGUAUGAUCUUAAGC